GUCCCAGGCCGUCUCCGGAAAGCCAAUUCAUACUCACUUAUGUAUCUCCCUCCUUCUAGCCCGACAAUUCCGAGGAGUCAAGAAUUUCACAGCAGACGGGACACCUCCUGGGGGAGGGCAGAAUAUGAGCAUAUGAGGACCAGUUUCCUAUCCUAAAAAUCCCCUGGCAAUCGCUGGUAAUAAUUUUCCCUGAGACCGCGUGGACAUACCUCCUAAAGACCUUGCAAAUUCCCUUCCUAAGCCCUAGCACGCUCGUCAACCUGUGUACUAAGCAAUUGCCGCCUGCCUAUUCCAGGCUCCUGUGGGUCCGUGCCCCGUUUAGUCCCUCCCAGGAGGGUGAUCAGGCACCCUCUUCCACCCUGCUGGGUGGGUUCCUCAUCACCUGAGCACUCAGUUCCCCUGCUGCCAUCCACUACCUGCUGACGUGAGACGUCCGGGCGUUGAGAUGCAGAAUCCUUCCAGAAGGGCGAGGCUCCUUCCCCCUUCAAGAAGAUUCAAGCCGCAAGGCCUCGGAGUAGUCCCAAAUGGGACUUGUCUCCUCAAAGUGAGGAGUUUCCCGUCCAAUGCACCAAAUGUAGCCACGCGUUCCGGGAAACAAACUCACUCAGAAGGACAAUGCGGAUAGUGGAGUGCCGUUUAUUACACCUGCGGGCCCAAGCUGAAAUUUGAGCUUCAGCCUGUGGGGCAAGCAGAGGAUCCAGCAGAGCCAAGAUGAGGCAUCUUUACUACAAGCUGCCACUGGCAUCCACCUACACAGGCACUGGAGAGUAUUCACAGAGCCCUAAAGGCGGAUCUCUUCCUGAUGAAUGGUCCUGAGUAGAAAGUCUGCCCCUGGGGCAGGGAAGAGAAAGGGAGGAACAAAGAGAAGGGUGGUUCUUUUGAAAAAGUCUUCAAAAGAGCAGACAGUGCAAGGUCCAACCUGGUGAUCACUCAGGCCCACCUCAUCCUCCAGGCACAGUUCUGAUUUUCCGGUGGGCCCCCGUUGUUGUUGUUGUUCAGUCACUAAGUCAUGUCCGACUCUUUGUGACCCCAUGGACUGCAGCAUGUCAGGCUUCCCUGUCCUUCACCAUCUCCCAGAC
ensembl:lncRNA